UCCAAGCACCAAAAAAUCAAGUCAUCUUCAUUUCAAUCCAUUCUUUGUUCUGUGUCUCUUACAAGUUACAACCCAUUCCGACAGAACUGCACAUGAAACAAAACAAAAACAAGUUACAUCAACCAUUUUGAUGUUCCCUAAACUGUUAAACCUUUGUCCUCCACAUUCCCCCAUAUUUCUCAUUACCCCUCCAUUUUUCUCACCAAACAAACAAGACCCAUUUCAUAAGAAAAAUAAAAGCAUUCUUUUUUAUAUUAACUAAUAUAUGAAGAUAUCAAAACAAUCACAUAAAAUGCAUUUAUUGAAAAACCCAAAAAACAAACACAAAAAAAAAAAAAACCCAGAAAUGAUAAAUACAAUGGAGGUCUUUUAAUUACCAUAAAAAAAAAGAUACAAGAAUAACACAUAUUUAUUAUAUUCACACACACGUAUAGAAGCUAUUAGGUGGAAAUCUUCCCCUGCUGAGGCGCCCACGGUGGCCUGUAAUGAGAAGUAUCAAUAUUCAAGCUUCAGGGUUUCACAAUAUUCAAUUUUCAAGUGAUGUAGAGCAGGCAUAGCUGCUUCUUCUACCUUCCACUCUUCCAAAUUCACAAGCUCUUUAAGGGUUAGAGAGUCCUUAAGUUAGGCAGCUUCUCUAGUAUUGGCACGGGAUCUCUUCCCCAAGCUUGAACCUUCUCAAACAUAUGUAAGCUGUACUUGAAGGGAAACGGUGAUACUCUGGUAACAAUUCCUCAUCUUCCCAUCUAAAAUCAACUCACACAAAUAAACGCAGCUUGAAAGGAGGCGCACUAAUAGUUUCGGAUCUAUUCCUCCUCCAUCAAUAGACAAGGACUGAAGAUAUUUGCUUGUGAUGAUCGACAGAUUCUUGUCUAAACCCUCCUUACAAUCUUCAAUAUCUUCAACUUGGUCUUAUCGCUCAUCUUCUCUGGGAGAUAUAGCUGUUCCAAUUUCCAUAUCACAUCAGGUACACAACAAAAACCAGAAUAAGCUGGAUAUUUUAAAUCCAAGGUUUGCAGACACCUUAAAUUGCCUAGAGAUGAUGGAAUUUUUGGAAUAAUGAAAUCAAAAGCUCUUAGAUUCAAGAAUCUCUAGUGGAUGAGAUUACCUAUAGCAUUGGGCAACUUACAUCCUGCAACAUUUUCACAAGCUUCACAUUCCAGGACUCUAAGCAAUUUAAAAUUGUUGAACAAGUAUGUCCAACAUCCCUGCCUUUUCCAAAGUAGAAAAACACCCAAGACCACCAUAAGUAAACUGCAAUCGUCAUUAUCCUGAUGUUCUUCAUGUAUUUUAUCAUCUUUGAGUUUAGAAAUGCUUUAACUACUGCAUCUUUAGUGAAGGGGUUAUCAAAUAACAAUAUUGAUCUCAGACGGGAACUUUUAAUGCUUUGAAAAAGAAUGGAUUGAUGUGCAACAAUUCUGCGAACUGCGCGACCAAUGGAUGGAGAUCAUCUAUGAUGCAGACAAAAUUUUCUUUCUUUGCUACUGACAAACAAAGACCUCUCAUGAGAUCAUGCAUGCGGUAAGUUUUGAUCUUUAAGGUUGGCCCUCUUUCUCCAACUUGAACCAUGCACCUUUCCACAAGCUCAACUAAGCAACCUUCUGCAACCUUCUGCAACAUCCUCCAUCAUUUCCCCUCCAUUUCCUUCACCCCUCUGCUGAUGAAACAAGGCCUUCUGCAACCCACAAUUGAAUCAAUCUUUCUACAGGUAUUUCAUAAUCUUCAGGAAAAAUACUUAAAUAAAGGAAACAUGAUCUCAAAUAGGGGUGGCAAAUCAUCAUAACUUAAGGCUAACACAUCCUCGAUGCAUAGGCCUUUGCCUCUCUUCAAGUAUGUUUUAACAUUUUCGAACACCAUUUGCCAUUCUAAAAUGCCUCCCAACUGCGCAACGAUGAACCGUUACCUUCCCUAACUCUUCCAUUUUUGCAUCAACUUUGUUUUCUUUAAAAUAAGCAGUACUGUAAGAACACCAAAUUACUAUUCAUCACUAGCCACAAUGUACAUCUUUUCCAUUGCUUUGAAUGGAUAAAUAAAAAGAUCAUUGUAUGUAAUUUCUUACAAA